GAUGAACGCUGGCGGUAUGCUUAACACAUGCAAGUCGAACGGAUGUUUUCGGACAUUAGUGGCGGACGGGUGAGUAACGCGUGAGAAUCUGGCUCUAGGUCGGGGACAACGGUUGGAAACGACUGCUAAUACCGGAUAUGCCGCAAGGUGAAAGAUUAAUUGCCUGGAGAUGAGCUCGCGUCCGAUUAGCUAGUUGGUGUGGUAAGAGCGCACCAAGGCGACGAUCAGUAGCUGGUCUGAGAGGAUGAGCAGCCACACUGGGACUGAGACACGGCCCAGACUCCUACGGGAGGCAGCAGUGGGGAAUUUUCCGCAAUGGGCGAAAGCCUGACGGAGCAACGCCGCGUGAGGGAGGAAGGUCUUUGGAUUGUAAACCUCUUUUCUCAAGGAAGAAGUUCUGACGGUACUUGAGGAAUCAGCCUCGGUUAACUCCGUGCCAGCAGCCGCGGUAAU
rnacentral:rRNA from 1 species